AGUGAACGCUGGCGGUAGGCCUAACACAUGCAAGUCGAACGGCACCACCGGAGAUCUUGCCCUCUGGGUGGCGAGUGGCGGACGGGUGGGGAUUACAUCGGAAUCUGCCCAGUCGUGGGGGUUAUCGUAGGGAAACUUACGCUAAUACCGCAUACUACCUUCGGGUGAAAGAGGGGGAUCGCAAGACCUCUCGCGAUUGGAUAAGCCGAUGUCGGAUUAGCUAGUUGGCGGGGUAAUGUCCCACCAAGGCGACGAUCCGUAGCUGGUCUGAGAGGAUGAUCAGCCACACUGGAACUGAGACACGGUCCAGACUCCUACGGGAGGCAGCAGUGGGGAAUAUUGGACAAUGGGCGCAAGCCUGAUCCAGCCAUACCGCGUGGGUGAAGAAGGCCUUCGGGUUGUAAAGCCCUUUUGUUGGGAAAGAAAUCUUUCAGGCUAAUACCCUGGGAGGAUGACGGUACCCAAAGAAUAAGCACCGGCUAACUUCGUG
rnacentral:rRNA from 1 species